GAUAAGAUGACUGAUAAAAGGUUGUAAAUUGUAAAUUUAUAUAUGGAAAUAUUUCCUCUUGUCA
rnacentral:tRNA from 1 species